AUACGGAUGGUGCAAGCGUUAUUCGGAAUCACUGGGCAUAAAGAGCACGUAGGCGGCAGCAUAAGUCAGUGGUGAAAUCCCUCAGCUCAACUGGGGAACUGCCAUUGAUACUGUGCUGCUAGAAUGCGGGAGGGGCAGACGGAAUUCCAGGUGGAGCGGUGAAAUGCGUAGAUAUCUGGAGGAACGCCAGAGGCGAAAGCGGUCUGCUGGCCCGAAAUUGACGCUGAGGUGCGAAAGCUAGGGGAGCAAACGGGAUUAGAAACCCGAGUAGUCC
rnacentral:rRNA from 1 species